rnacentral:lncRNA from 1 species
GGUUUCUCCCAGCAAAGCUUGGAGGGUUUAGCUGCGCGGAGAGCUCAGCGAGCUCUUCUGUGUCUGUUUGGGGCGUGUGGGCUCCGGGAGCGUGAGGACCGGGAAGCUAGGAGGCUCCUUCCCUUCUGGCGGCUCCCUCACUGAGACCGGGCGGUUUGGUUGCGGGGGAAGUGGAGACGAGCCACCCUUGACCUUUGACUGCAAGAACUCACCUUGAGCAGGAUAGAGGCACGUGGACGGUGACCCUCGGGAUGCAAUAAAUGCUGAGACAGAUCAGCAAACAUUGAGUGGGCCAGACACUGUUCUGAAAAAUACGCAGUCGACUUUUGAACAGCACAGGCUUGAACUGCAUGCGGCCACUAAUACUCGGACUUCCUUCUGCCUCUGCCAUCCCUAAGACAGCAAGACCCACCCCUCCUGCUCCUCAGCCUACUCGAUGUGAUGAUGAAUAGAGUUUAAAACAAUGCAGCCACAGAGGCGGACAGCUUUCCGUGGAAAAGAGUAGAUCUUUCAUGGAUGGUUGAAGUUGACAGGCAGGCAUCCUGUCUUUCAGGGCUGGGGCUGGGAAUGGCGUUUCUGACUUCGCCAUUGAUGGGCUAGCUGGUGCUUGGCAUGUGACUGUCAUCUGGAACUGUGAUUUUCUCAUCAGCUUUGGUUUGCUCAUAUGGAGGGAGUAGCAUGUGUUAGGAGUCCCAUCCCUGCCAACUGUUUCAUACACAUUGCAGCAUUUCAUCCUCACACCCACCCUGUCAUGUGGGUAUUACCAUCCCAUCUUAUAGGAGGGAAAGUAGGUACAUGAAGGCACUCAGCUUUGAAGGAUGAAGCUGGAAGACACCACCAACUCUUCUGCCUCUGUGGUGAUCUUUGCAGUUUUUUGAGCAAGGAUAACUGCAUGAUCUUCGGCAAGACCUUUAACAUCUCUGUACUUUGGUGUCCGUGUCUGUAAAGGAGACUGUUGGAGACCAGAAUAUGCCACCCCAAAACAUGAAGGACUGUUGAGCCAAAGACAACUAAGAAGUGGAUGCAGGAAGGCUCUCUGCCCUCCCUCUAUUUGCCUAAAAGCAGGACAUAGAUUUACAAAGACAAGAGGUAUUCCACCUCCACUCUGCAGGGAGAACAAAGGGUAACCAUGGAAGACAAUGUUAGAGCCCUAUUGUCUGGAGAUGGCACCAGGUCCAGCUUCGUUAAUCCACCUUGAUCUGCCUGUUAUUGCCUUCCCACAAGUGGCUACCCCUAGAGACUCAAAGUCCUUUUUCCCUUUGUCUUGUCACUGUCUAAAAAUGUGCUGGGUUUUUUUGUUUUUGUUUUUGUUUUUUUUGUUGCUGCUGUUGUUGUUGAAGAUGCUAUAUAAGCUAUAAGCAGGAAUCCAAAGCCACCUUGAGAACUACUCGUUCCCUGGUUGUCU